rnacentral:rRNA from 1 species
UACAGAGGUCUCAAGCGUUGUUCGGAUUCAUUGGGCGUAAAGGGUGCGUAGGCGGCGCGGUAAGUCGGGUGUGAAAUCUCGGGGCUUAACUCCGAAACUGCAUUCGAUACUGCCGUUCUUGAGGACUGGAGAGGAGACUGGAAUUUACGGUGUAGCGGUGAAAUGCGUAGAUAUCGUAAGGAAGACCAGUGGCGAAGGCGGGUCUCUGGACAGUUCCUGACGCUGAGGCACGAAGGCCAGGGGAGCAAACGGG